rnacentral:snoRNA from 1 species
AUCUUUAAAAUACAUGAAGUAAAAACUGAUUGUCCUUGGGCACGUAAGAAUUGGAGGCAAAGAGAUGUGGGCCUGGAGAAGUCUGGAGCUAGUUGCUCCCUGUAGGCUCAAGAUCACCCUUUCCACACAC